UAGCCGUAAACGAUACUCGCUAGGUGUCGGCCACGGUGCGACCGUUGUCGGUGCCGUAGGGAAGCCGUGAAGCGAGCCACCUGGGAAGUACGGCCGCAAGGCUGAAACUUAAAGGAAUUGGCGGGGGAGCACCACAACGGGUGGAGCUUGCGGUUUAAUUGGAUUCAACGCCGGACAACUCACCAGGAGCGACGGUUACAUGAAGGCCAGGCUGAUGACCUUGCCUGAUUUUCCGAGAGGAGGUGCAUGGCGUAGACGUCU
rnacentral:rRNA from 1 species